GUCCCUCGUGGAAAAUCACCUUCCCGGGGUGAGGGACGUCAGUAAGCGGGAUUUCAUGAUCUAGCCGAAACUGAGAACUUUCC
rnacentral:ribozyme from 1 species